AAGUUCUCCCAAUGAACUUGCACUCUUACGUCAAUACACACUCACACUAUACUAGUUCUCCCAAUGAACUUCUACUCUUACGUCAAUACACCCUCACUAUGCAAGUUCUCCCAAUGAACUUACACUCUUACGUCAAUACACACUCACACUAUACAAGUUCUCCCAAUGAACUUACACUCUUACUUCAAUACACACUCACACUAUACAAGUUCUCCCAAUGAAAUUAUACUCUUACGUCAAUACACACUCACACUAUACAAGUUCUCCCAAUGAACUUAUUCUCUUAAGUCAAUACUCACUCACUAUACAAGUUCUCCCAAUGAACUUACACUCUUACGUCAAUACACACUCACACUAUACAAGUUCUCCCAAUGAACUUAUACUCUUUCGUCAAUACACACUCACUAUACAAGUUCUCCCAAUGAACUUACACUCUUACUUCAAUACACACUCACACUAUACAAGUUCUCCCAAUGAACUUAUUCUCUUACGUCAAUCCACACUCACACUAUACAAGUUCUCCCAAUGAACUUACACUCUUACGUCAAUACACACUCACACUAUACAAGUUCUCCCAAUGAACUUACUUCAAUACACACUCACACUACACAAGUUCUCCCAAUGAACUUACUUCAAUACACACUCACACUAUACAAGUUCUCCCAAUGAUCAUGAACUUACUUCUCUUACGUCAAUACAAACUUACACUUCACUGAACUUGAAUUUUAUGUUCUCUGAACAACUGAUCAUGGAUUAUAAUGUAUAUCUCAUGCUGAAAACAUACACCGGUUACCCCCUCUCCGUCCAUCAUCAUCCUCCAUUGCUGGGGAAAAGCAUUCAGGUCACCCAUCAUAAACACACAUGCACAAAUCCCAAUAAAACAUUGAAUAACUGUCAGGAGCAAAUGAUGAAUUAUGAUAAUAUAGUAGGAUCAUAUCAACAUGCAGUUUUGGUAGCCAGUUCUGUCAAGAUUUUCUACCAUCUCAAAAAAAAUAUUAAUCAUCAUUACAAUUGACAAUUUCAUGAUCAUACAGAACUUGAAACAACUCUUUUUUAAAACAACUUUGACAUGUGUAAUCCGUGAUUGUCUUUGUAGAGAAGUAAUAUGUUACGGUUACCGCUUGAGGCAGCUUUGUACUUUAUUUGGCAGUGAUCUGUGACCUCUGACAUUUCGUAUCUGUCAAUGGCGGUAAAAAAAAAAAUGGG